rnacentral:lncRNA from 1 species
GUAGCUUCCUUGUCGUGUGGCCUCAGUCCUUCGCCGUCCCUCGCCGUCCUUCGCCAUCGCACGCCACCGCACCCCAUCUCUCGAAAUCUGCAGACAUCUUGAUUUUUCCCACGCUGUCUGUCAGGUCUCCGCCGCCACUCGACGCCAGGGCGCCGGGUGAGUCCACAGCAGGGCGCAUGGUCGGCUCCACUCUCACCAUCGGGGGAAACUGAGGCCCCGGGGAAGGCGGCCAGAGAGGUCAGGCCCUGUCCUUGGUGCAGUGUCUCGUCCUCUUUGCCGGAGUGAGCCCCCCAGGAUUCGCGUGUCCUCGGGAAAGACACUGGCAGGCCUUGUGGGCUGUGCUGCACCUCGGACGGCUUCGCACCAGCCAGCGCCCUCUCUCUCCUGCAGCACUCUGAUCUGCACCCCCUGAGGGGCUUCCACUGUCCGCGGGGUGAGAAUGCCCCUGGGAGUGUCACAUGACUGCCGCCCCAUGUGUGUGAGAGGCGUCCUCUGGGAGAGCAUGGAUCCUGAGGUCCCAGGAACAUCCCGAGAGCCAAGUUCCCAGAUGCCAGCCAAGGGCCAUCUGACCUGUUUUGAAUCUCAAUUUCCUGAUACAGAAAACAAAGGAUUGUCAGCUGACCUCUGUCCUGUGUGCCCAGUGGCCCCAGGUGACGUGUCUUCAAGAAGAGGCUGAGCUGCGGUGCUUGUAAGGGUCUCAUUCUGUCACCCAGGCUGGAGUGCAGUGGUGCAAUGAUGGCUCACUGCAGCCUCGACCUGGGCUCAAGUGAUCCUCCACCUCAGCUUCCUGAGUAGCUGGGACCACAGAGUCAUGUGCUGUUCCUGGGGCUUGGAUGAUGUAGGGGAAGCAAGGUGAAAGUGGUAUCCCGUGGUUCCACGUUCUGUCCUGCUGUGGGGCUGUCCCUCACAUGCUUUCAGUGGCUGUUGCAGAGGAAGAGCCUCCGGAAAUCUGCGUGGGUAAAGUCUCAGCCUUAGAUCCAAGGACAGUCCAAGGAAGUCCUAAGACCAUGGAGUUGGUGAUCUGGGAUCUGGGUUUGCUGAUAUUUCUCACCGUGAAUCUCUUGGUGGUGUUUGUGGGCACGAGAGGGGCAGAGAAUGGAGAGUGAGGCUACCACAUGAAGCGUCACCAGAGCUGCUCCCUGCUGCCUGCUCAGAGCACCCCGGAUCCACUGUUCAAUCUGCACAAGAUUCGGGGUCCAGACAUGGGAGACUUCAGCUGCCUCAGAGGACCGUGGACAGGGAAGGCCAGCCUCGCAUCCCUCUGUCCAUGCCUGGAAUGACUUUAAUAACCAAGAGUUUUAUUUUUGAAUUUGUAGCUGUCGUUCACUUUUUACCCACCCAUUCAAUAAACCUUACAGAAUUGC